UGCCAUAUCAAUAAGCGGAGGAAAAGAAACCAACAGGGAUUGCCUCAGUAGCGGCGAGUGAAGCGGCAAAAGCUCAAAUUUGAAAUCUGGCGUCUUUGGCGUCCGAGUUGUAAUUUGAAGAAGGUAUCUUUGGGCCCGGCUCUUGUCUAUGUUCCUUGGAACAGGACGUCACAGAGGGUGAGAAUCCCGUGCGAUGAGAUGGCCCGGGUCUAUGUAAAGUUCCUUCGACGAGUCGAGUUGUUUGGGAAUA
rnacentral:rRNA from 1 species